CCUCUAUUCUUUUGGACAACGAAAUAUGUUUGAAGACCUUCAACUCUACAUAAUGGAAGACAAAUUGAGAGAAAGUCCUCUAUCACUUUAAACCAUUUGCCUUGAGUCAAAUAACAUCAGUUAACAUGGAAAAAAAAAGAGGUCGAAUCCUUCAGCCAUUCCAAAUCAACAAUAUUAUGACUGAAAAUUCUCAAUCCUUCUUCUUAGCCAUCAAUAAAGUAUUAAAUGAUGCCUAAGAAAACGUAACUCCCUGGAGCUAGAAGAUUACACUAUUUACCACUACAGAGAAAUUGGAGAAUAUGAAGAAAGGAAAGAAGUUACUGUAAUGAGGCUCUAUCAGUAAAAGACUACUCAAAAAUCAAUAUUGAGUACUUCCAAAAGCCCAUAGGUGUAAUGGGGGGUGGGAGGGUGAGAGGGGACCAGAAUCCUGUUUACAAUAAAUUCAAUUUAUAUGCAACUUUUCUGGAUUGUCUGGUCACAUAUUGCAAAAUCAGACUGUAUUAUAUUCCAGAACCAGGAUAUAAUAGGUGUGUAUUUAUUUCACAGAGAGGUUAAGAACUUCUCCAAAGCUGCAUAGUGAGGAAAA